rnacentral:tRNA from 2 species
GUCGAGAUGACUGAGUGGAUAAGUAGCGGCCUGCAAAGCUGACUUACGCCGGUUCGAAUCCGGCUCUCGAUUC